GGGUGUGUGUGUGUGUGUGUGUGUGUGGUGAAUUAGGAUGAGUGAGAGAGCGAGGUACAGAAAAGCAGUCUGAUCAGGUUGGUCCCCAGUCCCCUGCUGUGAGCUGAUUAUCAUCACCGUCAGUCUCUGCCCUGCUGAGCUGAGCUCGGCUGAGAGAGCACAUUCCUCCGCCAGGUUAUGAUCUUUUUCUCCCUCGGUCCUUUAAUUAAUCACCCUACCUCUCUCCAUUGGACCAGCAAUUUCACCCAAUACAUCAAGUGGCCAAAUUAUAAAACAACAAUUAAUCUACAGCUUUCAUCUAUCUUCACCCUUCCUCUUCGCCACACACAAUCUCUCCUUCCUGUUUUUCAAGUCCACAGUCAACAGUACAUACAGCUGAGCAUGAAAAGGGUUGGUCUGUUGAAGGUCGUGAGUCAGAACAGAUAUGCCAAUAAGUGGUUGUUCAGAUAAGAAAGUCAAAUACUCAUCGUCGUUGAAACAGCACAGUUGCAUAACAGUGGUGUAUGUAUACGGACGUACAGUGGUGAACUGUCAUGGAGUAUUUAACAUGCAAGCAAAACAACAAAAAAAUUGGAAAUCUGUACAAAUAAUUGGCCCUCAUAAUACUUCAACAAAUGAUCAUACUUGAUAACUUCCUGUCUCUUUGAGAGAACCAUAGAGGUUUGCAAUCAUAAAAACAAAUCUCAACAGGUAAAAUGAGCAGGUGUAAAAACCCACACAUAUCUGGUAGUGUCGCCAGCCUAUCCCGCAUAAGACUGCAGUGACAUGUCAAAAACUAUAACAACGUCAACAUGUGACUCUCCCACGACCAGAAUGUGUCUUGACAGACAAAGAAAAUCUUACAAUUGGGCACAGACAAUCUGAAUCUAGAAUGCCCUCCACAAAAUACAAUUUGCUGAACUACUCAGUGUAGUUUCACAUGAGCACAAGGCACUAAAACUUAACAUAACAGAAUAAAAUACAACAUGUUUCACAGUAAAAAGGUAUAUAAAAAUGUCAACAAAGCCAGGGUCUAAAAUAAAAAAUACAGUUUAGCAUGUCACAUACAAUUGCAAUACAUCACUAUAGUUCCUGAAUUCUGUUCAGUGUUUUGAGACUGACAGGGGAACUGUACGGAAGAAACACACCCCCUAAAAGCCGCUUCUGCUCACACUGCCUCUACACACACACACACAUACACACGCACGCACACACACACACACACACACAGCUGCACCAGCAUACUCCAGAGAGAAGUCACUGAUCCAAACUAACAGACAAAGUAGAAGCUCCCACAGAGUGUAAGAUUAACAGAAAACACCCGAGAAUGAGAAGGGAGCAGUUCACAGUUAGAAUUAUUCUGUGGAAUCCGCAGGAAAGGUAAGAACAAGACGAGUACUUACUGAGGAGAAAGGCAGCUGUAGUCUGAGGACAGAGGGAGGGAGGGAGGGAGGAGAAUGAGAGAAUGAGAGAAAGAGAGAGAGAGAGAGAGAGACCAAGGCUGCCAGAGAGAGAGAGAGCGUGAAGUCCUGCUUCGUCUGUCCUGGGACGGGGGAGGAAAAGAUAAACUACAAAGAGUGACUCAGCCUACGUAUGUGUGAGUUCAUGUCUGUGGACAUGUGUGUGUGUGUGUGUGUGUGUGUGUGUGUGUGUGUGUGUGUGUGUGUGUGUGUGUGUGUGUGUGUGUGUGUCUUGAUGACUUAGCCUGCGCUCGUCCUGAAACACCCACAUCUCUCUCCCUAAGCUUUGUCAGAGUCUCUGUAAUAGUUUCCAUCCCAUCUGCAGCUGGAAAUAAUAGAUUCCCAUGCAGGCACGGGUGCCGUGGCAACGCCCUCUUGUGUUUCAUCAUGAGCAGGGAACAAACUAGGCCAUUUCCCUCGCUGCCUGUGUCAGAGGAGGGCUC
ensembl:lncRNA